rnacentral:rRNA from 1 species
GACGAACCGUACGAACGUUAUUCGGAAUCACUGGGCUUAAAGGGUGCGUAGGCGGCGCGACAAGUUGGGUGUGAAAUCCCUCGGCUCAACCGAGGGACUGCGCCCAAAACUGUCGUGCUCGAGGGAGACAGAGGUGAGCGGAACUUAGGGUGGAGCGGUGAAAUGCGUUGAUAUCCUAAGGAACACCGGUGGCGAAAGCGGCUCACUGGGUCUCUGCUGACGCUGAGGCACGAAAGCUAGGGUAGCGAACGGG